rnacentral:rRNA from 1 species
GACGAACGCUGGCGGCGUGCCUAAUACAUGCAAGUAGAACGCUGAAGAGAGGAGCUUGCUCUUCUUGGCUGAGUUGCGAACGGGUGAGUAACGCGUAGGUAACCUGCCUGGUAGCGGGGGAUAACUAUUGGAAACGAUAGCUAAUACCGCAUAAAAUGGAUUAUCGCAUGAUAAUCCAUUGAAAGGUGCAAAUGCAUCACUACCAGAUGGACCUGCGUUGUAUUAGCUAGUUGGUGGGGUAACGGCUCACCAAGGCGACGAUACAUAGCCGACCUGAGAGGGUGAUCGGCCACACUGGGACUGAGACACGGCCCAGACUCCUACGGGAGGCAGCAGUAGGGAAUCUUCGGCAAUGGACGGAAGUCUGACCGAGCAACGCCGCGUGAGUGAAGAAGGUUUUCGGAUCGUAAAGCUCUGUUGUAAGAGAAGAACGAGUGUGAGAGUGGAAAGUUCACACUGGGACGGGAUCGUACCAGAGAGGGACGGCUAACUACGU